UGCGUAGGGGGCAAGCGUUGUCCGGAUUUAUUGGGCGUAAAGAGCGUGUAGGCGGCCUUACAGGUCAGCUGUGAAAACUCGAGGCUCAACCUCGAGACGUCGGUUGAAACCGUAAGGCUAGAGUCCGGAAGAGGAGAGUGGAAUUCCCGGUGUAGCGGUGAAAUGCGCAGAUAUCGGGAAGAACACCCGUGGCGAAGGCGGCUCUCUGGGACGGUACUGACGCUGAGACGCGAAAGCGUGGGGAGCGAACAGG
rnacentral:rRNA from 1 species